GAUGAACGCUAGCGGCAGGCCUAAUACAUGCAAGUCGAACGGUGUCUUCGGACAUAGUGGCGCACGGGUGCGUAACACGUAUGCAACCUACCUUACAUUGGGGGAUAGCCUUUCGAAAGGGAGAUUAAUACCGCAUAAGACAGUAGCUGGGCAUCCAGCAGCUGUUAAAGAUUUAUCGAUGUAAGCUGGGCAUGCGUCCAAUUAGCUAGUUGGUGAGGUAACGGCUCACCAAGGCAAUGAUUGGUAGGGGAACUGAGAGGUCAAUCCCCCACACUGGUACCGAGAUACGGGCCAGACUCCUACGGGAGGCAGCAGUAGGGAAUAUUGGGCAAUGGACGCAAGUCUGACCCAGCCAUGCCGCGGGCAGGAUGAAGGCGUUAUGCGUUGUAAACUGCUUUUAUACAGGAAGAAACGACUCUUGCGAGAGGCAUUGACGGUACUGUAUGAAUAAGCACCGGCUAACUCCGUGCCAGCCGCCGCGGUAAAAC
rnacentral:rRNA from 1 species